rnacentral:rRNA from 1 species
UACGGAGGGUGCAAGCGUUAUCCGGAUUCACUGGGUUUAAAGGGUGCGUAGGAGGGCAGGUAAGUCAGUGGUGAAAUCCCCGAGCUUAACUUGGGAACUGCCGUUGAUACUAUCUGUCUUGAAUAUUGUGGAGGUAAGCGGAAUAUGUCAUGUAGCGGUGAAAUGCUUAGAUAUGACAUAGAACACCAAUUGCGAAGGCAGCUUGCUACACAAACUAUUGACUCUGAUGCACGAAAGCGUGGGGAUCAAACAGG